UUUCAUGAGAGUUUGAUCCUGGCUCAGGAUUAACGCUGGCGGCGUGCAUAACACAUGCAAGUCGAACGAUGAAACUUAAAUGAUUUCUUCGGAAUGAACUUAAGUGGAUUAGUGGCGGACGGGUGAGUAACGCGUGAGUAACCUGCCUUACACAAGGGGAUAGCCGUUGGAAACGACGAAUAAUACCCUAUGAUGUUUCUAUCUCGCAUGAGAUAUUAACCAAAGUAUUAGCGGUGUAAGAUGGACUUGCGUCUGAUUAGCUAGUUGGUGAGAAAAAAGCCCACCAAGGCAACGAUCAGUAGCCGGCUUGAGAGA
rnacentral:rRNA from 1 species